rnacentral:rRNA from 1 species
AGAGUUUGAUCAUGGCUCAGGAUGAACGCUAGCGGCAGGCUUAAUACAUGCAAGUCGAGGGGCAGCACGGGUAGCAAUACCUGGUGGCGACCGGCAAACGGGUGCGGAACACGUACGCAACCUUCCCAUAACUGGUGAAUAGCCCCCCGAAAGGAGGAUUAAUACACCGUAACAUAAUGAAGUGGCAUCACUUUAUUAUUAUAGGCUUCGGUCGGUUUUGGAUGGGCGUGCGCCUGAUUAGGUAGUUGGCGGGGUAACGGCCCACCAAGCCUGCGAUCAGUAACUGGUGUGAGAGCACGACCAGUCACACGGGCACUGAGACACGGGCCCGACUCCUACGGGAGGCAGCAGUAAGGAAUAUUGGUCAAUGGACGAAAGUCUGAACCAGCCAUGCCGCGUGAAGGAUGAAGGCCCUCUGGGUUGUAAACUUCUUUUAUCUGGGACGAAAAAAGCUCAUUCUUGAGCACUUGACGGUACCAGAGGAAUAAGCACCGGCUAACUCCGUGCCAGCAGCCGCGGUAAUACGGAGGGUGCAAGCGUUAUCCGGAUUUACUGGGUUUAAAGGGUGCGUAGGUGGGUCUGUAAGUCAGUGGUGAAAUCUUCGAGCUUAACUCGGAAACUGCCAUUGAUACUAUAGAUCUUGAAUUAUCUGGAGGUAAGCGGAAUAUGUCAUGUAGCGGUGAAAUGCUUAGAUAUGACAUAGAACACCCAUUGCGAAGGCAGCUUACUACGGAUAUAUUGACACUGAGGCACGAAAGCGUGGGGAUCAAACAGGAUUAGAUACCCUAGUAGUCC